CCACAUAACAGAGGUAUUUCAGAUGUGACUGCUGUGCCACAUGUGUGUCAGUAGGUGGCAGAGGAGAGGAUGUCUAUGCUCAGUGUUCUGACCUGUGGACAUCUGAAUAAUUAGUAGCUUAUUAUU
ensembl:snoRNA LOC120093995 small nucleolar RNA SNORA17